GGGCUGGGCAAGACCGGUGCCAGCCGCCGCGGUAACACCGGCAGCUCAAGUGGUACCCGCUUUUAUUGGGCCUAAAGCGUCCGUAGCCGGUCUGAUAAGUCUCUGGUGAAAUCCCACAGCUUAACUGUGGGAAUUGCUGGAGAUACUAUCAUGACUCGAGGUCGGGAGAGGCUGGAGGUACUCCCAGGGUAGGGGUGAAAUCCUGUAAUCCUGGGAGGACCACCUGUGGCGAAGGCGUCCAGCUGGAACGAACCUGACGGUGAGGGACGAAAGCCAGGGGCGCGAACCGGAUUAAAUACCCGGGUAGUCCUGGCCGUAAACGAUGUGGACUUGGUGUUGGGAUGGCUUCGAGCUGCCCCAGUGCCGAAGGGAAGCUGUUAAGUCCACCGCCUGGGAAGUACGGCCGCAAGGCUGAAACUUAAAGGAAUUGGCGG
rnacentral:rRNA from 1 species